UACGGGGGGGGCAAGCGUUGUUCGGAAUUACUGGGCGUAAAGGGCUCGUAGGUGGCCAACUAAGUCGGACGUGAAAUCCCUCAGCUUAACUGGGGAACUGCGUCCGAUACUGGAUGGCUUGAGUUUGGGAGAGGGAUGCAGAAUUCCAGGUGUAGCAGUGAAAUGCGUAGAGAUCUGGAGGAACACCGAUGGCGAAGGCAGCCCCCUGGGCUGACACUGACGCUCAUGCACGAAAGCGUGGGGAGCAAACAGG
rnacentral:rRNA from 1 species